UAGCCUAGUGGUCAAGGCUAUGGAUCGCCAAUCCGGAGACAGCGGGUUCGAUUCCCGU
rfam:Aedes albopictus isolate Foshan contig108337, whole genome shotgun sequence.